GAUGAAGAACGUAGCGAAAUGCGAUAAGUAAUGUGAAUUGCAGAAUUCAGUGAAUCAUCGAAUCUUUGAACGCACAUUGCGCCCCUUGGUAUUCCGAGGGGCAUGGCUGUUCGAGCGUCAUUAUAACCCCUCAAGCUCAGCUUGGUGUUGGGGCCUGCUGCACUGGCAGCCCUUAAAAUCAGUGGCGGCGCCAUCUGGCUCUAAGCGUAGUAAUUCUUCUCGCUAUGGAGUCCUGGUGGAUGCUUGCCAUCAACCCCCAAUUUUUCUAUGGUUGACCUCGGAUCAGGUAGGGAUACCCGCUGAACUUAAGCAUAUCAAUAAGCGGAGGA
rnacentral:misc_RNA from 1 species